AGUGUUCAAAGCAGGCCUUUGCCAUUGUAUGUGUUAGCAUGGGAUAAUGGAAUAGGACCUUGGUGCUAUUUUGUUGGUUUCGAACACCGAGGUAAUGAUUAAUAGGGAUAGUCAGGGGCACUCGUAUUCCGUAGAGAGAGGUGAAAUUCUUAGACCCACGGAAGACGCACUACUGCGAAAGCAUUUGCCAGGGAUGUUUUCACUGAUCAAGAACGAAAGUUAGGGGAUCGAAGAUGAUCAGAUACCGUCGUAGUCUUAACCAUAAACCAUGCCGACCAGGGAUUGGUGGGUGUCGUUUUUGACUCCAUCAGCACCUUUCGAGAAAUCAGAGUCUUUGGGUUCCGGGGGGAGUAUGGUCGCAAGGCUGCAACUUAAAGGAAUUGACGGAAGGGCACCACCAG
rnacentral:rRNA from 1 species